rnacentral:rRNA from 1 species
ACAUGCCUACAACAUAACAUUAAUGCAUCAGAUCCCAUUAGAAAUCUGCAGUUAAGCACACUCAGGUUAGAGUAGUACUGGGAUGGGUGACCGCCUAGGAAGUCCUAGUGUUACAUGCC